rnacentral:rRNA from 1 species
AUUAGAGUUUGAUCCUGGCUCAGAACGAACGCUGGCGGCGUGGAUAAGACAUGCAAGUCGAACGCUAAUCAUUCUGUAGCAAUACAGGAUGGUUGGAGUGGCGCAAGGGUGUGUAACACGUGGGUAAUUUGCCGUGAAGUUGGGGAUAACUCGCUGAAAGGCGAGCUAAUACCGGAUGUGGUGAUUGGGAGGCAUCUUUUGAUCACUAAAGUUGGGGACCGCAAGGCCUGACGCUUUACGAUAAGCCCGCGGCCUAUCAGCUAGUUGGUGAGGUAAUGGCUCACCAAGGCUAAGACGGGUAGCUGGUCUGAGAGGACGACCAGCCACACUGGAACUGAGACACGGUCCAGACACCUACGGGUGGCAGCAGUCGAGAAUUUUUCUCAAUGGGCGAAAGCCUGAAGGAGCGACGCCGCGUGGGGGAUGAAGGGCUUCGGUCCGUAAACCCCUGUCAUUUGCGAACAAACCUUAUGAUUGAACAGGUCAUGAGCUGAUUGUAGCGAAAGAGGAAGGGACGGCUAACUCUGUGCCAGCAGCCGCGGUAAUACAGAGGUCCCGAGCGUUGUUCGGAUUCACUGGGCGUAAAGGGUGCGUAGUGGCGGGGUAAGUUUGAUGUGAAAUCUCCGGGCUUAACCCGGAAACUGCAUUGAAUACUAUUCUGCUCGAGGUUUGGAGGGGGGACUGGAAUUCUCGGUGUAGCAGUGAAAUGCGUAGAUAUCGAGAGGAACACCAGUGGCGAAGGCGAGUCCCUGGACAACACCUGACACUGAGGCACGAAAGCUAGGGGAGCAAACAGGAUUAGAUACCCUGGUAGUCCUAGCUGUAAACGGUGCACAUUUGCUGUAAAAGGAAUCGACCCCUUUUGUGGCGAAGCUAACGCGAUAAAUGUGCCGCCUGGGAAGUACGGUCGCAAGAUUAAAACUCAAAGAAAUUGACGGGGGCCUGCACAAGCGGUGGAGUAUGUGGCUUAAUUCGAUGCAACGCGAAGAACCUUACCUGGCCUUGACAUGCAUGUAGUAGGAGCUUGAAAGAGUAACGAGGUAGCAAUACCAGCAUGCACAGGUGCUGCAUGGCUGUCGUCAGCUCGUGUCGUGAGGUGUUGGGUUAAGUCCCGCAACGAGCGCAACCCUCACCUUCAGUUGCCAGCGGUUUGGCCGGGCACUCUGAAGGAACUGCCGGUGACAAGCCGGAGGAAGGCGGGGAUGACGUCAAGUCCUCAUGGCCCUUACGGGCUGGGCUACACACGUGCUACAAUGGCGGUGACAGUGGGAUGCGAGCGUGCGAACGCAAGCCGAUCCCCAAAAACCGUCUCAGUUCAGAUUGCACUCUGCAGCUCGGGUGCAUGAAGGCGGAAUCGCUAGUAAUCGCGGAUCAGCAUGCCGCGGUGAAUACGUUCCCGGGCCUUGUACACACCGCCCGUCACACCAUGGGAGUUGGUUUUACCUUAAGCCGGUGCGCAAACCGCAAGGAUGCAGCCGUCCACGGUAAGGUCAGCGACUGGGGUGAAGUCGUAACAAGGUAACCAAU